GAGAGUUCUCCAUCUUUCGGUCAGAAUUGUUAUUGAAGCAGCUUGUUUUGUUAGGAGAAAGAAUAAGUCUGGAAGAGAGCUGAUUGCAUCUCCGCACUCAUAUUCUACUUUUUCCGUCGCCAUGAAAAUCCCUACUAGUGAUUUCAAAAUCAGAAGAUUUAAUGAAAAUUCGAAAUAUGUUUCCAACUAACGUCAAUGGUGAUU